GCACAUUUCUCUCUUUCAAUGCCUUCGCUUUCGAUCAAAAGGCUGGAUCCCUCAACUGAGGUAGAAGCUACUUCUGACCAAGAAUGGCACCCGCAGAAAUUAUCAUCUCCACUACUCUCCACAGUAUUUGGCUGUGUCCCGGUGGUAAAUGUGGAGAUCUUCUGGCUGUCAUCAGAGAUGCCAAACGCAAACUGCUCUUUGGCAGUUUGUGUGAAGAGGUGUGAACCCACUUUCUCACAGGGCAUCCUGGGCUAGAGGGGUAUCUCUUCCAGAUGUACUUCAGUGAAACCAGAUUCAGAGCUUGAGCAGAUACACUACUGCAGGCAUGGACCUAACUCGAACCGGCAACAGCACACAAGUACCAACGGGGCCACAGAGCCUCUGCCAGCACCUCUGCACUGCUCACUGCUCGACGGGCCUUCCUUGACAUCUGGAAAUGCUUUCUUUUGACUAGGAAUUGCCUGGGAUAUAAAUUUCCAUUCUUUACUUUUGUCAUUUCUGUGUCUCACAUUUUAAUAUA